GUUUCAGGGCAUCUGGAUGGCUCAGUUGGUUAAGCAUCCAACUAUUGAUUUUGGCUCAGAUCAUGAUCUGAGUGUUGUGAAAUUGAACCCCAUGUCGGGGUCCUUGCUGGACAUGAAGCCUGAAUAAGA